UGGGGAAUUUUGGACAAUGGGGGAAACCCUGAUCCAGCCAUCCCGCGUGUGCGAUGAAGGCCUUCGGGUUGUAAAGCACUUUUGGCAGGAAAGAAACGUCAUGGGUUAAUACCCCGUGAAACUGACGGUACCUGCAGAAUAAGCACCGGCUAACUACGUGCCAGCAGCCGCGGUAAUACGUAGGGUGCAAGCGUUAAUCGGAAUUAAUGGGCGUAAAGCGUGCGCAGGCGGUUCGGAAAGAAAGAUGUGAAAUCCCAGAGCUCAACUUUGGAACUGCAUUUUUAACUACCGGGCUAGAGUGUGUCAGAGGGAGGUGGAAUUCCGCGUGUAGCAGUGAAAUGCGUAGAUAUGCGGAGGAACACCGAUGGCGAAGGCAGCCUCCUGGGAUAACACUGACGCUCAUGCACGAAAGCGUGGGGAGCAAACAGG
rnacentral:rRNA from 1 species